UAUAUGAAGAUGUAAGCUAUUCUAUAUUGAAUAGUUUGUUUCUUUGUAUU
rnacentral:pre_miRNA from 1 species